rnacentral:rRNA from 1 species
UCUGAGUGAUGCCCGCUAAGGGCAUCUUUUGGCACCUCUAAAAAUGGUGCAGAAUAAGGGGUGGGCAAGUCUGGUGUCAGCCGCCGCGGUAAUACCAGCACCCCGAGUGGUCGGGACGAUUAUUGGGCCUAAAGCAUCCGUAGCUUGUUCUGCAAGUCUUCCGUUAAAUCCACCUGCUCAACAGAUGGGCUGCGGGAGAUACUACAGGGCUAGGAGGCGGGAGAGGCAAGCGGUACUCAGUGGGUAGGGGUAAAAUCCUCUGAUCCACUGAAGACCACCAGUGGCGAAGGCGGCUUGCCAGAACGCGCUCGACGGUGAGGGAUGAAAGCUGGGGGAGCAAACCGGAUUAGAUACCCGGGUAGUCCCAGCUGUAAACGAUGCAGACUCGGUGAUGGGUUGGCUUUGUGCUAACCCAGUGCCGCAGGG